AAAUCAUUACGAAAGAUUUCGUUAUUAAUUACCAGGAUUUCGUAAUCAUUUCAAAAGAUUUUAAAAAUCUGAAAAACAGGCCCUACGCGACCCGCAUUGCAUGUUUGGCGGCCCGCAUUAGAAACGCAUGGAACUCCCAUGCGGGCCGCAUUAGACGCCCAGAUGCAGAAUGUUUGGACAGACUUGCCUUUUGAGCUUGUGAACGAUCAAAUCUUCAAUUAAUGAAGCAUGGGCGCCCCCUACUCGACCCAUAACACUUAGGGACACCUGCCCACCAUCCAUGAUCAGUUGUAGCAUGAGUUGUGAUGAUCUAAAGGCCUUUUGAACAUUAUAAAUAGCCACAUUGUGAGCAUAUGUUCACCACACCUCAAACAACUCAUCUACUGAUCAUUCUAAGCUCUCAAGUCCUUUUCUCUGCUCUAUAAGCAAGAACACACUUCUGUAAGUCGUUCACAACCAUUGUGGUCAUGCAUUUCCAUAGUUUUAGCUUAGAAACUCAACCGUCGUAACUAACGGUUGUCAUUACAAUAACUUGCAAAUGGUUCAGUCUUAUGACGAAUCAAAAGUGGUUAUAAGUUGGUAUCAAUGAGGGUAAUAAACCCCUAAAAGGGUUCCCCCUGAUCACCACUCUAACUAUGUCAAAUAUCGAGUCAAACGUGCGGUUAAAAAGUCAACAGGAAGCUAUUUUAGCGAUUUAUGCAUAAUCUGUAAUGUACAUACUAUGGAACCUGUUUUGACAAUCAUAAAACAUGAUAAUAAGUAUAUAAACUUGUUUGCGCUCGUUUGAAUCGAUCAUUUGCUAUAUUGAACCGGACUCUCUUAGGACCAGGUCACAUGUCGGUAUAAACCUCAGUGAUCGGUUCAUGAGUUACCCGAGUCUUUUGCGCAAUUCCGUCAUUCGCCUAAAAGUUGACCGUAACGGCCUUUUGAAAUUAAAAUGAGUAUUUCGGACACGUGAACGGACCAAAACCUUGCUUAUUAAAUUAGAAGCAUGUCCUUAAAGUUUCACGUCAAUCC
rnacentral:lncRNA from 1 species